rnacentral:lncRNA from 1 species
AGCCUCAUUUACAUUACCAUGAGCUAAUUCAGCUGGACGGUGAUUGAAGCAGGAGAAAAGGCAGCCUUACUGGAAAUUACAGCCUUCUGCCCACUUAGACAGCAGACAGAUGAUUUUAAGCUUUUCCUUUCCUUUCUUCCAGCAUCACCUUCCUGAGUUCACCUGGGGACAAGAGGCACAUCUGGGCCACCUUUAAAGUAUGGGAGUUUGCCUUAGAUAAAUGAGGCAAACAGUUGCAGGGAAGAUGAGCAGACUUGUGAUGGUAAGGAAUUAAAUUCUCCUUUUCCAGGUCAGUAUCCGGGGGCUGGAGCAGCAUCUCCAUCCUUUCCCUCCAUAUUUCCCUGAAGAAACUGUCACAGGGCUGGUUGAGCUCCCUCAGCCCUGCAGGUGAAGGCUUGGGAACACACGGGCCCUACACGCUAAUUCCUGGAUCUGCAGUGAGAUGGACCCCUUAAUUCUUCACUACCUAUCUUCAACUGCUUACUAAGUCGCUGUUUUCAUUACAAAAGCAAUAUGUAAUAAUAGUUGUUAAAAUAAUUGUAUUUCUGUUUUUACAUCUGUAAAGAUUAAGUUAAACAGUAUGAAGCCCAUUAAACUAUUUCAUGUCAUGCUGCCAUAAAUUUCCUCCAUUCCCAUUGCUACUAUUAUUCCAGAGUAAACUCUGAGAUCAAGCUGCUGCCACAGAGAGUUAUUUAUAGGAGCUCAUUCAUCAAUAAAAACUUCAAAAGAAAUCUGUUACUCUUCUAUUGGGAAGCCAAAGAAAACUAACAUAAAGACAACCCCGUUAAGAAACAAAGCUAAGGAGACCACAAGACAUUUAGUUAAGGAAAAUCCUGAUUUCUAACAAGUACCAUGCAAGGAAGAAAAAAAAAAAAGAUUGUUGGCAACAUGAAUCCUUUUAAGUUACUUCAUUUUCAUUGGACGGUUAAAAUAAACUGUUAAACAGUUGUAUUUGUCCUGGCUCGGCCCCCUCAUUAGGCUUCAUGUGAUGGAUUUGUGAUCUCGCAGUGUGUAAGGAGCUCUUCACCUAUUGCGAAAGCUGGUGCUGUCUUCCCACUUGUCUCAGCUGCUUUUCCACCCGUCUGUCAGCACCACAGAGAGCUAAUGAGCGAGAUGCUGAGUCGGCAACGGAGAACACCUACCUCCCUAGAGGUGGAUACACAGAACAGGGAAAGGAGUCUUAUUUAUGGC